UUUGUCAACCAAAUCAAGCCCACAUGAUAUAAUAAAAUGCAUCACAACACACCGUGGAGGUACACAUAUGACUUACAAUCUCAAACUUCAGCAAACGGAAAAUAGAAAAUUACAUUUGGCAACCAAAUCAAGCCCACAUGAUAUAAUAAAAUGCAUCACAACACACCAUGUAUAAAGCAAGCAAGCAAUUAGCUAUAUGCUUU
rnacentral:lncRNA from 1 species